GAUGAACGCUGGCGGCGUGCCUAACACAUGCAAGUCGAACGAAGCACUUCGAUUUCUUCGGAAUGAAAAAGUGACUGAGUGGCGGACGGGUGAGUAACGCGUGGGUAACCUGCCUCAUACAGGGGGAUAACAGUUAGAAAUGACUGCUAAUACCGCAUAAGCGCACAGUAUCGCAUGAUACAGUGUGAAAAACUCCGGCGGUAUGAGAUGGACCCGCGUCUGAUUAGCUAGUUGGUGAGGUAAUGGCUCACCAAGGCGACGAUCCAGUAGCCGGCCUGAGAGGGUGAUCGGCCACAUUGGGACUGAGACACGGGCCCAAAACUCCUACGGGAGGCAGCAGUGGGAAUAUUGGCACAAUGGGGGAAACCCUGAUGCAGCAACGCCGCGUGAACGGAUGACGUAUUUCGGUAUGUAAACGUUCUAUCAGCAAGGAGAUGAAUGACGGUACUUGACUAAGAAG
rnacentral:rRNA from 1 species